AUGGCCACCGAGUUCGCCCCUAUUCUAGGUCCUCCUGACCGCAUCCCUCCUGAGCACUUUGACAUCGGAAGCUGCAGCAAGUGGCCUGCUGAUCGCCAUGUGCUUGAUUGCCGCCACGGCCGUGUCCUCGUGAAAGACGACCUGAAGCAUGAGGUUGUUGUGUGUGACCCCGUCACAGGCGAGCAGUGCCGCGUGUCCAUUCCGCCGGAGUUCAAGAAUACUCGUGCCCACAUCCACGGGGCGGUGCUCUGUGCAGCCACCGACCAUGACCACGUGCAUGGCAGCUGCCACUCUACCUCCUUCAAGGUGGCCUUGUUGUCCAUCUACAGGCAGGAUAGGCGGCCAGUCGCCUGUGUUUACUCCUCAGAGACUGACACGUGGGGAAAUCUCAUCACAGUAGCGGAACCAUGUGAGCCUCAUGGUUUUCUUAUUCAUGUGGCUCUUAUUGGUAAUGUCCUUUACUGGAGCAUACUUGAGUUUGAUUUUGAUAGGCAGAAUCUAGCUAUGAUCAAGGGGCCUAGUGGUAUAAAUAAACUCCACAGAUUUCAUAUCAUCAUCAAGACAGAGGAUGGGGGUGUUGAUCUUGCCGUAUUAUCUGCACCGAGAAUUCGCAUAUGGCAAAGGAAGGUCAAUUGUGAGGGUGUUAGCACAUGGUUGUUGCAGAAGACCAUUGGCAUGAAUAAAAUUCUUAGGAUCUCUCCUCGCAUUAAGAGAAAUAUGGGACGGCUGCUGGGGUAUGAUGAGGAUACUGACGAAAUAUGUUUGUAUAUAUAUGUUUGUAUAUAUAUGUCAGUGUCUAUAUGGUCCAACUUAAGUCAAUGCAAUACAGGAAACUGUAUAAAACCAAUUAUUAUACAAACUAUUAUCCUUUCAAGAGUUUCUAUGUGCCAGCCCCUGCUGCUGGAUGUGGUGGACUGA
rnacentral:rRNA from 1 species